UGAAGCCCCCCUCAAGAUGAGAUUUCCCAGUAUGUAAGACCCCUUGAAGACGACGAGGUAGAUAGGCUGGGGGUGGAAGUGCAGCAAUGCAUGGAGCUGACCAGUACUAAUCGGUCGAGGGCUUAUCCAAAUA
rnacentral:rRNA from 1 species